rnacentral:lncRNA from 1 species
UCGUGUACAAAACCUGCCAUUCGACAUGACAGCAAAAUGUCAAUCUCCAAGUAGGACAUGCUCAGUUAAACUAACGCAGAACAGUGGGAGAACACGGCCCACAAAAGAACAUCACAUGCUCAGGCAUGUCGAAUAUGGCUGAAGAAUAGAAAUGGACCCGUCAAUGAUUUCAUUAUUUCAGUAACCUCAAGCUAAAAGGAGGCAGUGAAUACGCAGCAAUAUCGAGAACGUAACUGGCUACUUAAUAUGGAGAGCAUAACGACCAAAAGCGCAGAACAGAGCAAUCCAUAGUGACAGACAAAAACGGCAACGGAUCGAUUGGCACUGCAGUUUUGACAAAGACAAGUCAAUCAAACCGAAUCAACCGAAGGUAACUAAAUUUGCCGAUCGAGUUCAACAGGACAUGAACGGCAGAGGAGAUCAGUAGUGAAAGAGUGAGAGGGAACGCACCUUGGCCGUGGAGGAGUGGAGAGAGAGGAAGCCGUCGCGGUAGACCUUGCGCUUUCUGCUUGAGGUGCUUCGUGAAGGUAACUGUUCCAUUUCGUGGGAGCCUCAUCCAUGGCGGCGGUUUCUGCAUUGGGGGAGGAUGAAGAAGAAGAAGAUCUUCUAGGGAUUUCGAGAGCUGCAAGUAAUUGCUGCGAGAUACCGCUUCAACAAGAAAGCAUCGUAUUCGGGAAUGCUGGUCAAGCAAAUUCACGAUUCGUCCUUCAAACAAGAAAGCAUCAUCAUAGCCCUUUUCGAGAAAUUUAAUCACAUUCAGUUGGGGUUGAUUCUCUUGCGUCUGUUACUAUAGCGACAAAGCAUUUCUUCUGCCUGCGGCGAGAAUAUAUGCCUGU